AGUGAACGCUGGCGGUAGGCCUAACACACGCAAGUCGAACGGCAGCACAGUAAGAGCUUGCUCUUACGGGUGGCGAGUGGCGGACGGGUGAGGAAUACAUCGGAAUCUACUUUUUCGUGGGGGAUAACGUAGGGAAACUUACGCUAAUACCGCAUACGACCUACGGGUGAAAGCAGGGGAUCUUCGGACCUUGCGCGAUUGAAUGAGCCGAUGUCGGAUUAGCUAGUUGGCGGGGUAAAGGCCCACCAAGGCGACGAUCCGUAGCUGGUCUGAGAGGAUGAUCAGCCACACUGGAACUGAGACACGGUCCAGACUCCUACGGGAGGCAGCAGUGGGGAAUAUUGGGCAAUGGGCGCAAGCCUGAUCCAGCCAUACCGCGUGGGUGAAGAAGGCCUUCGGGUUGUAAAGCCCUUUUGUUGGGAAAGAAAAGCAGCAGGUUAAUACCCCGCUGUUCUGACGGUACCCAAAGAAUAAGCACCGGCUAACUUCGUG
rnacentral:rRNA from 1 species